GUAGAAGCUCUUGGGCGCCCCUCGGUGCCACAGGCAUGUUGCUACGGGCGACAGAGACAGAUCAGACAGGCAAGGACACCCGUGGACGAGAUCACAAUAAAAACGUGACCGUAUUUACAAGUUGAUCUCUGGUACGAUUUCAGCUCUCAGGGCGACAGCGGUGGGGCAAACGUUGCUCCUUGGCCCAGUUUCUGUGGUCUCCGCUAUUUCACCCUGGCAUCACGUCGGAAGGUCAGGAUGCGGACAACCUGGACCCUCCCUAAGAUGCUUGGUGAAAUAUGUACUCGUACAGGAGUUGAGAAAGCAACCAGGGUCACACCUGGAGGUCUCGGGGGUUAUUCCUGGCUCUGUGCACGGGCUGACCCUGGAGCUGCUCAUGAGAGGUGCCAGGGGUUUGAACCAGGGUCCUGGAUGUGGAAACCUGCAAGUUUUCCACACCUAGCAGUGCUUGGAGCUGUUCUGUAGGCGCUGAGGGACCCUGCGGGGCGGGGGAUCCGAGACGGCAAAGCACGUGCGCCAGCCCUUCACGCCACCUCCCUGGCCCUGGGCUUCAGGUUCUGGACCACGCAGCUCACAACAGGUCAAGAGUCAGACCCGUGUGGUAAGGCCAGAAGCUCUAGGGCCAGACCGUGGGCCUGGAUCCUGGUCAUGUCUCACUGUGUGGUCAGAUCUGCAUGGCGGAAACACUCCACACCGCCCCCAGCCCCCCUGCACCCCUCUCAGUGCCCUGGUCCAGAGACUUCAAGGAGUUGUUGCAACUGUGUGCUAACAGCAGCCCAGCCUG